UAGCAUUCACUGUUAUUGUUUCUGAACAGUGAUGAUCAGGGGAACACUCUGAUCUGCAAAUAGAUGGGGAGGAGGAUGAUGAUGAAGACGAUGGUCCAGCAUACCAGGAGGAAAGAGCAGGCAAUAGGCUAUGCCAGUUGGAGUAAAGAGCAUUUUUUUGUACUAUCCAGUCACCAGAUCACAACGUCACUUCAACCCCCUCGCCCAAGUGGCGAUCUCGUCCUGGCACAAAACUGAACAAGAGGAGAGCUAAAAUGGGGAGAAAACAAGGAGGGUAAUGAGGAAGCCAGGCGCAACUAAUGAACUGAUAACCAGGCAAACAAGAGGGCGGGGUC